rnacentral:snRNA from 1 species
CACUUUGUGCAGUGGCAAUAUCAUAGCCAGUGAAGUUUAUCUGUGGUGCAAUUAUUGCUAAGUGAAAACUUUUCCCAAUAUCCCGCCAUGAUGACUUGAAAUAAAAUGAUGCUAAAGAAACAUUUAAGUG